CUCCCCUUUGACCUUUGUACUUUCCCUGGCUACAGCACUGGAACCCCUCCCCUCUCUGAGCUCAUCCAAUCAAUUUUCACCAAAACGAUUUAAGACAAAUGUGGGAAAUGAGAGGCGGCUGUUAUAGAAGACCCCAGACAUCUUUAUCCUUGAACGGACGGCCUGCAGGGUUCAUUCUUCAUUGCACAAUGCUGAUCACGAAGCCCAUCAGGAGUGCUGUAUCAGAGGGGUGAUGGAGGGCCUGAUGGAGGAGCAGACUGUCCCUGGAUCAGUUGAAGUUGCCGUCGUUUUAGAGGGUGCAGAUGUCUGAGGGGGAUUGCCACAGACUUUGGUGUGAAGUUUCACCUGCUCUACACUCAGCACUGAACAUCCAGAGAACUGGAGGUUCACUUUUAAGGCAGUCCAGAAAGUUCUCACAUAUUCUUAUAUAGGGUGAUUUUAUUGUUUCAAUGUUUUUCAGGCACAGUUUGGUCAGGUAUGAGAAACAGGACUACUCAGUUACAUUUAAGCUAGUUUACUAAAGUUCUGGGUUCAAAUAUACUCUUUCACAAAUGAAAACCAUGUGUUAGUGCGUCAGUGUGAUUUCUUUUUUUAAGCAUAGACCCUAAACACAAAUUUGUUAUAUGUCAAAUUUCUUAUAUGACAAAUUUCUUAUAUGUUAUAUGCUUUUUAUAUUUCUUAUAUGGGAGAAGCUGAUGGUCUUAGAACAACAUUAAUUAUGAUGCUGUAGGAACAGCACCAGCACAGGGGUAUCAGACUGUUAGUGGGACCUCCGUUGGGUGAUUCUGCUGCCCUGUUUGUGCUUCUUAUUGAAGAUACCUUCUCAGAGCUCACACUGUGUGACUCAGUGUGACUCGGCAGAUGUUUUGAGGCUUGUUUGACUGUUCAGCACGUGUUGGGGUUGAUGUUUGGUCUUCUGUAAAUGGAAUAUUGAAGGAAUGGAGAGACACACUUCGCUCUUUAUGGACUCCAUGCUGUACCUGCCACCAUCAUUCUACAUAUUUGGUGUUGAUUGCACUAUAUGGGUUGUACUGCUGUCUUGUGGUUGGUGUUCAGAAAUGUUUACUGCUGUCAGCUU